rnacentral:snoRNA from 15 species
UAUUGAGAGAACAUACGUAAAACUAGAGUCAAUGCCUUCUUUCUUGUCCUUCUCCAUUUUUACAAUAAAUGCGUCUACAAAAUCGUCGCCUUCUUCACUGAGAGUA